rnacentral:misc_RNA from 1 species
AUUAAAAUAAGAAGGCUCAAUUUACUAAUGGCAGAAAACCACAUAUAUCCAUGUAUCACAAAUCAAAUCACAUUACCUUAAUUGAAAAAGGGUCAAACCACAUGGUACCCUUUUGUAAUUUUCCCAACCUAAUUUGUUGCAGUUACAAGAAUAUGCAAAUUUGUCAUUCGCAACACCAAAAGUCAUACAGCAGGAUGUGCUGCACAUAUGGUCUCAAGCUCACAUAAAAAUCCAUCAACAUUCAACAUUCUGAAAAAGAAGGGAAAAAGAAGGGAAACAGAUGCUCCAUAAAAAUAGACUAGCAAUGUAACAGUAAUAAGUAAUGUCUUAUUACCAUUGAUAGAAUUCUACCAAGAGCAACUCAGAGAAAAUGGAAUAUAAAUUUGUUCUUCUACAAGAAAACUCAAUAGAGAAUAUUUGCCUCUAAAUUGACAUAGAGGUAAAUGUUUAAUCACUUCUGGGCUGCUGCUUCAGCAGGGGUCUUGGUAGUCAUCUGAUCAACAGCAUGCACUGUGCUCUGAAGCUCCUCCCAUAUGGCUUUAUAAACCAUCCUCUGUCUAUUCACGGCUGACUGUCCUUCAAAGGCUGAAGAGAUAACAUCAAUACUGACAUGCCGACCAUCCCCAUAUGCAUCUUUCACAGUGACUGAUUCUGCAUUUAGUUCCUCCUUAAUCUUUUUUUCCAUGGAUUGCAUGAGAGGCGAGUCAAUAGACCCGGCAUCAUUGACAUUGGUGGCUCUAACAGUGAAUCUACGGUUACCCACGAGACCAAACCCUAAUUUUGAUAACUUAUAGCCAUCGCUCUCAAUUUGGAGCUUUGUUUUUCUGUCAUGGGUGCAAGACCAAAACAAGAAGUUCGUUUCGGUUUUCUUCGGAAGGAUUGCGUAGUGUGAAAAGAAGAGUCGUUUCGGGGGUUGGGGAAGGGAUGAUGACGAAGGGAGAGCUUGGUGAUGGAGUAGAGAGUGACGGCUAUGGGGGCGUGUGGAGGAGAGAACAUACGGUCGCCACAUUAGAGUCUUCGCCAUUUGCAGUCGUUUCUUGCGAGAAAAUUGGAGAUUUUCUUGUUCUAGCUGAGGCGAUGAAAGAUUGAAAGGUGUGCAGUUGGG